CAAUAGCGUAUAUUUAAGUUGUUGCAGUUAAAAAGCUCGUAGUUGGAUUUCGGGUGGGACGCAGCGGUCUCGCAUUGCGUUUGUACUGCUGCAGCCCUCCUUCUUGCCGGGGGCGGCCUCUCGGACUUCACUGUCUGGGGGUCAGAAUCGGCGAUGUUACUUUGAGUAAAUUAGAGUGUUCAAAGCAAGCUUACGCUCUGAAUAUAAUAGCAUGGGAUAACACGACAGGACUCUGGCCUAUCGUGUUGGUCUAUAGGACCAGAGUAAUGAUUAAGAGGGACAGUCGGGGGCAUUCGUAUUCCGUUGUCAGAGGUGAAAUUCUUGGAUUUAUGAAAGACGAACUUCUGCGAAAGCAUUUGCCAAGGAUGUUUUCAUUGA
rnacentral:rRNA from 1 species